rnacentral:rRNA from 1 species
UCCCCUAGUAACGGCGAGUGAAGCGGGAAGAGCUCAAAUUUGAAAUCUGGUGGCCUCAGGUCAUCCGAGUUGUAAUCUAUAGAAGUGUUUUCCGUGCUGGCUCAUGUACAAGUCCCUUGGAACAGGGCGUCAUAGAGGGUGAGAAUCCCGUCCUUGACAUGAACUACCAGUGCUCUGUGAUACAUUUUCAACGAGUCGAGUUGUUUGGGAAUGCAGCUCAAAAUGGGUGGUAAAUUCCAUCUAAAGCUAAAUAUUGGCGAGAGACCGAUAGCGAACAAGUACCGUGAGGGAAAGAUGAAAAGCACUUUGGAAAGAGAGUUAAACAGUAUGUGAAAUUGUUGAAAGGGAAACGAUUGAAGUCAGUCGUGCUCUUUGGAUUCAGCCGGUUCUGCCGGUGUACUUCCUUUGAGUGGGGUCAACAUCAGUUUUGAUCGCUGGAUAAAGGCUGGAGGAACGUAGUACCCUCGGGUAAACUUAUAGCCUCCUGUCACAUACAGUGGUUGGGACUGAGGAACGCAGCACGCCUUUAUGGCCGGGAUUCGUCCACGUACGUGCUUAGGAUGUUGACAUAAUGGCUUUAAACGACCCGUCUUGAAACACGGGACCA